rnacentral:rRNA from 1 species
UUAAAAAGCUCGUAGUCGGAUUUUGGCUGAGAACGGUGCGGUCCGCCGUUAGGUGUGCACUGACUGGUCUCAGGCUUCCUGGUGAGGAGGUGUGCUUCAUCGCCACUUAGUCACCGUGGUUACUUUGAAAAAAUUAGAGUGUUCAAAGCGGGCUUACGCUUGAAUAUAUUAGCAUGGAAUAACACCAUAGGACUCCUGUCCUAUUUCGUUGGUCUCGGGACGGGAGUAAUGAUUAAGAGGAACAGUUGGGGGCAUUCGUAUUUCAUUGUCAGAGGUGAAAUUCUUGGAUUUAUGAAAGACGAACUUCUGCGAAAGCAUUUGCCAAGGAUGUUUUCAUUGAUCAAGAACGAAAGUUGGGGGCUCGAAGAUGAUUAGAUACCAUCCUAGUCUCAACCAUAAACGAUGCCGACUAGGGAUUGGCGGAUGUUAAUUGAUGACUUCGCCAGCACCUUAUGAGAAAUCAAAGUUUUUGGGUUCCGGGGGGAGUAUGGUCGCAAAGCUGAAACUUAAAAGGAAUUGACGGAAGGGCCCCACCAGGCGUGGAGCCUGCGGCU